AUACGGAGGGUGCAAGCGUUGUUCGGAAUCACUGGGCGUAAAGGGCGCGCAGGCGGUUUGGUAAGUCAGAUGUGAAAGCCCACGGCUCAACCGUGGAAGUGCAUUUGAAACUGUCAGACUUGAGUACUAGAGGGGAAAGUGGAAUUCCCGGUGUAGAGGUGAAAUUCGUAGAUAUCGGGAGGAAUACCGGUGGCGAAGGCGACUUUCUGGCUAGAUACUGACGCUGAGGCGCGAAAGCGUGGGGAGCAAACGGGAUUAGAAACCCUAGUAGUCC
rnacentral:rRNA from 1 species